GUUGGCCUUGGGCUGUUUUCUGCUCUUUGGUCGGUUUGUUGUCUCUUUGACACCCCAUUUCCCAUUUCCAUUCUCAAUUUUAUUAUACUUAUUAGAGUUGAGCAAGUCUUAAUGUAGCACUGGUUGUAUUAUACUUAUUAGAGUUGAGCAAGUCUUAACGCAGCACUGGUUGUAUUAUACUUAUUAGAGUUGAGCAAGUCUUAAUGCAGCACUGGUUGUAUUAUACUUAUUAGAGUUGAGCAAGUCUUAAUGUAGCACUGGUUGUAUUAUACUUAUUAGAGUUGAGCAAGUCUUAACGCAGCACUGGUUGUAUUAUACGUAUUAGAGUUGAGCAAGUCUUAACGCAGCACUGGUUGUAUUAUACGUAUUAGAGUUGAGCAAGUCUUAAUGCAGCACUGGUUGUAUUAUACGUAUUAGAGUUGAGCAAGUCUUAAUGCAGCACUGGUUGUAUUAUACUUAUUAGAGUUGAGCAAGUCUUAAUGCAGCACUGGUUGUAUUAUACUUAUUAGAGUUGAGCAAGU
rnacentral:lncRNA from 1 species